rnacentral:rRNA from 1 species
GACGAACGCUGGCGGCGUGCUUAACACAUGCAAGUCGAGCGGUAAGGCCCUUUCGGGGGUACACGAGCGGCGAACGGGUGAGUAACACGUGGGUGACCUGCCCUCAGCUCUGGGAUAAGCCUGGGAAACUGGGUCUAAUACCGGAUAUGACUCCAUGACGCACGUUGUGGGGUGAAAGCCUUGUGCGGCUGAGGAUGGGCCCGCGGCCUAUCAGCUUGUUGGUGGGGUGAUGGCCUACCAAGGCGACGACGGGUAGCCAGCCUGAGAGGGCGACCGGCCACACUGGGACUGAGACACGGCCCAGACUCCUACGGGAGGCAGCAGUGGGGAAUCUUGCGCAAUGGG